rnacentral:rRNA from 1 species
GACCGAGGGGGCAAGCGUUGCUCGGAAUCACUGGGCGUAAAGGGCGCGUAGGCGGGAUGGCAAGUCAGUCGUGAAAUCUCUCGGCUCAACCGAGAAACGUCGGCUGAUACUGCCGUUCUUGAGGGAUGCAGAGGAGACUGGAAUUCCCGGUGUAGCGGUGAAAUGUGUAGAGAUCGGGAGGAACACCGGUGGCGAAGGCGGGUCUCUGGGCAUCUCCUGACGCUGAGGCGCGAAAGCGUGGGGAGCAAACGGG